rnacentral:rRNA from 1 species
CACGUAGGGUGCGAGCGUUGUCCGGAAUUAUUGGGCGUAAAGAGCUCGUAGGCGGUGUGUCGCGUCGGCCGUGAAAACCUGCAGCUUAACUGUGGGCUUGCGGUCGAUACGGGCGUGCUGGAGUUCGGCAGGGGAGACUGGAAUUCCUGGUGUAGCGGUGAAAUGCGCAGAUAUCGAGAGGAACACCUGCGGCGAAGGCGGGUAGCUGGGCCGACACUGACGCUGAGGCGCGAAAGCCAGGGGAGCGAACGGG